rnacentral:rRNA from 1 species
CAGUCGAACGAUGAAGUCCUAGCUUGCUAGGAUGGAUUAGUGGCGCACGGGUGAGUAAUAUAUAGUUAAUCUGCCCUACACAGAGGAACAACAGUUGGAAACGGCUGCUAAUACCUCAUACUCCUAUUUAACAUAAGUUAAAUAGGGAAAGUCUUUUCGGUGUAGGAUGAGACUAUAUCGUAUCAGCUAGUUGGUAAGGUAAUGGCUUACCAAGGCUAUGACGCGUAACUGGUCUGAGAGGAUGAUCAGUCACAUUGGAACUGAGACACGGUCCAAACUCCUACGGGAGGCAGCAGUAAGGAAUAUUGCGCAAUGGGGGAAACCCUGACGCAGCAACGCCGCGUGGAGGAUGACACUUUUCGGAGCGUAAACUCCUUUUAUCAGGAAAGAAUAAUGACGGUACCUGAUGAAUAAGCACCGGCUAACUCCGUGCCAGCAGCCGCGGUAAUACGGGGGGUGCAAGCGUUACUCGGAAUCACUGGGCGUAAAGGACGCGUAGGCGGAUUAUCAAGUCUUUUGUGAAAUCUAGUGGCUUAACCACUAAACUGCUUAGGAAACUGAUAGUCUAGAGUAGGGGAGAGGUAGAUGGAAUUCUUGGUGUAGGGGUAAAAUCCGUAGAGAUCAAGAAGAAUACCCAUUGCGAAAGCGAUCUGCUGGAACCUAACUGACGCUGAGGCGUGAAAGCGUGGGUAGCAAACAGGAUUAGAUACCCUGGUAGUCCACGCCCUAAACGAUGUAUACUAGUUGUUGCUUUGCUAGUCAA